rnacentral:lncRNA from 1 species
GCACUCGAUAACCAAUGGGGAGAGAUUAAAUGUCCAGCAAACGACGGCAAUGUUGCCAGAUUCCUUUUAGCGGGAAUUUUAAAAUUUUAUAGCAGGUUUGUUUUAAAUUUGACAGUUCUGUUUUCUCAAGUCAAAAAUCUUAACCUUACUUUUACAAGUGAGUAGGAUUAUUAUUAUUAUUUUAUUUACAUGUAAAUUGAAACAAUAAAUGUUGUGCUGUGUCAUAAUUUCAAACUCAUUAUCUUGCAGUCUUUUCCAGUUGAUAAAAUUGCAAUUCAAAAACUUUUAGAUUUGCACUGUAUGGAUGGCACAGGAAGAGAACAAAGAGUACAAGAACAUGAAACAUCUUAUUAUGAAUGUAUAUGUAUGUGAUCCUCAAAAAAUUAUUUUACAAAACAAGAUAGAGAAAGAGCUUUAAAAUCCCAAGGAUCCUGCAAAAUGUUUAUUUGGUGUACUAGUCAAAUAAUAGUAUCUAAAAAUAUUGAAACUAUUUUAAAACAUAUUACGGACACGAGGAUGAUAUAGAGCACUUACAUAAAUACCAAAA